CCAGAGAGGAGCUGGAGGUAUGAGAGUGCACGUUUAGCUGUGUUCCACUGUUCUUUUUGGGGUCUGAGACGUGGUCACAUACUAUGUUUGGGACAGAGGAAAAUGGAGUAUGGUUUCCCAAGCUGCUGUUGAUUCUCAAGAAGUGGUACCAGACCCAGACCCUCCCGCAGACGCUGACCUUUUAAUAACCUUGUCUUCAAACUCUACGCAUAUCAAGAAGCUGGUGCUAAAGAUAAGACUGAGCCUUCUCCACAGAAGUGAGAGAGAGGGACAUCUCAACAACUGGCUAUCCUGUAAUGGGCUCUAAUGGAAGUGUGCCGCUCGGGAGGGAAGGACCUCAUUCUGCAGAGGAAAUCAGAAAGGAAUUGAGGCUCUUGGUCAAGUAGAAUUUCAACCUGGGUGAGCUGGAUCCAGAAUCCAUCUAAAUAGCUAUCUUAUUUGAAGGAAUUCAAAUCAAUUGCAAAGUGAAAUCAUAAAUCUUGCAAAAGAUAUUGGAUUUCCAGAAGUCUUUCAGAGAAUUGUUUGAAUGAAAUCCAAAAUAGAAAACAAAAAAAUGAUAUGGAAGAGUCAGACUGUUAAUUGAGGAAGAAAAAAAUCAUGAAGACGUCAAAGGACCACAGAAGUGAAUUAUUUGAAUAUAAAAGGAGAAGUAAGGACAAUGAAUCAAGCCUUCUAAUAUUUUUGCAGAAAUGACAAUCUUUACGAUUAUAAUCUGAAUGUCAAAAAUAAAAUGAAGAUGAUCGCACCUUGCUAUCAUAGUUUUGUCGGAAAAUCUCCUUCCUCCCGUAAAAUAACAGGGCUUGAGCCAUAUUCUAUUUUUGUUUUCAGAACUGACGCACUAUUGCCAUCAUAGCUGACAGCUUGUUAACUUGAAUACAGAGAGAGCACACAAGCA